rnacentral:misc_RNA from 1 species
AAGUCGUAACAAGGUUUCCGUAGGUGAACCUGCGGAAGGAUCAUUAACGAGAUAAUGCUACUGCUCUACUGCGGUGGAGUGUAGUCAUUAAUAAUGAUAAUAAUUUGUUGAACGAUAGUCGCUCGUUUUAGCGUAAAGCUAAAAAUUGAAUUAUGUUAACGAGUAUGCUAGUUGGUUAAUGAUGUGCGUGCGCGCUUAAUUGCGUGCAUGUACAUAGAGCGACCGAACUACUGACUGCUGCUCGGGGUACGGCCCGUAGUGUAAUGCUACGGUGAGUCGUACCUGUGUCAUUUUAAAUUUGAGUAAUAGAAUUCGCGUACGCGUGUUUAAGCGCGAGUACGUGUAGACUUGUGAAAGAGAGAAUAAUAAUAAAAUGCAUAACUGCAAACGGUGGAUCACUCGGCUCACG